AAAGAAAGAAAGAAAGAAAGAAAGAAAGAAAGAAAGAAAGAAAGAAAGAAAGAAAGAAAGAAAAUAACACAUUGAUGUCUGAUCUAAGAAUGACAGUGUUUUUUGUCAUUUAAACCACUAGAUUUAGCUAGAUUUACAUGCAAAAUAAUUUGGACUGUUAAAAUAAAGUCCAAUGUAGAAUGAUUACACAUUCUUUAAUAUGUUUUAGACAGGUACAGCUCAGGUUAUGUUUGUGGUUUCAAUUUUAAACAAUGAAACGUAAAUAGACCCUCACACUUACAGUAGACUGGCUAUCAUAUCCACUGAGGAUGGGCUAUAUGCACGCAUUACUUCCGCGUUUUGUCUAAGGCCGCGGUCCAGCUUCCGGUCUGGGUGAUUUUAAGCGGAGGUAAACAGUAUUAUGGCAGAGUCGUCAAUAUUUACUCGCUGUUUGGGAGUAAAUUAUGGUCAACGAUGUGCAAAUGAUUGUCCGGAUGUGCUCUACAACACCGCAGAGCAAAGCUUGAGAAGGGUUUCAAGUUGUAUGCAUCUUCCUACCUGUGCAAUUAUGAAGGUAACAUUAUGAGAUUCAGAGCUAGAAUAUUUUAUGUGUUACUUCAUCCUGGAGCGGACAUCCGUCAGAAGAUCCAUGCCAUCGUCUGCUAGUUUAUAGCUCCUGCUCUUGUGUGGCUGAGAGUGGGAUAUGCAAACAUUUGGUUGCUUUGCUUUUCCUGACAGCCCAUUACUCUGAAAUGUGUAAUGUGAGUUGUCACAUGAACAAUUGUUUGGAAUGGAUCAAUUAUGUGUUAAGUUCCAUGAAACAGAUGGGUGAUUUAUUUAUUUAUUUAAUACGUAUUAGCCCAAAUACCUCUCUAUGCACAAGUUACAGAAGAAGCACCUGAUUCAAGAAAACAACUGAUUCAAUGUCAUUUUUUCUGUUCAUCUGAAUAAAAUAUUUUUUUCAAAAUGUUA